AAUGAACGCUGGCGGCGUGCUUUACACAUGCAAGUCGAGCGAGGCGUGUAGCAAUACACAGUCGAGCGGCGAACGGGUGAGUAACACGUGGAUUAUCUGCCCUGAGGUGGGGGAUAACCCGGGGAAACUCGGGCUAAUACCGCAUAUGACCGUGAGGUCAAAGGGGGGUCGCAAGACCUCUCGCCUUUGGAGGAGUCCGCGUCCGAUUAGCUAGUUGGUAGGGUAAUGGCCUACCAAGGCGACGAUCGGUAGCCGGCCUGAGAGGGUGAUCGGCCACACUGGAACUGAGACACGGUCCAGACUCCUACGGGAGGCAGCAGUGGGGAAUUUUGCGCAAUGGCUAACGCCUGACGCAGCAACGCCGCGUGGAGGA
rnacentral:rRNA from 1 species